ACUACUUUUCCUGUUUUUAUCCUCAUGACCGUGAGAGUAGAUAAUUUGGGUUUCUUAGGUUUAGCUUUUUUAUCUUUGCUUACCAAAAUCAAAAUGUCUUAUUGCCUGAGAUUUUCAUUUAACUAGAAGACCAUGGAGAGUAGACUGACUUGUCCACAGAAAAGUUUUAGCUGUAUUCACUGAUCCAUUUUGUGUGAAAUACCAAAUCCUGAAAAUUUAUGCUUCUACAUCUCCCACCAUAAAAAGUUGGUACAAUGAGACAAAUCAAAUGAUGAAGGAAGCAAAAGUCCAGUCAGGAGAAACUAAUGAGAGAUCCAGUAUGCAAUGCAGAAAGGAGUUAGGGACAAAUAUACUCAGUUGGAUGGCUGAGGCACAGUAAGCCUAGAAUUGACCCAGAAUAUAUACAGAUUUUGCUCUUGUUGCAGGGCUUCCUUGGUGGCUCAGACAGUAAAGAACUUGCCUGCAAUACAGGAGACCUGGGUUCCAUCCCUGGGUCGGGAAGAUCCCCUGGAGAAGGGAAUGGCUACCCACUCCAGUAUUCUUGCCUGGAGAAUUCCACGGACAGAGGAGCCUGGCAGCCUACAGUACAUGGGAUCGAAAAGAGUCGGACACAACUGAGUGAUAUACAAGGCCAACCUCUAAGUACUUUAAAUCAGACCAGUGCUUCACUGAGGGAAGCUAGAGUGUCCUACAGGCAAAAUGGACCUUGUUACCUUGUUACUUUGACAGCCACCGUGAUGGCUUGUCAUGGGGCGGACAGGAGAUGUAUGAGUCAUCUGGGAGCAGUAGGGAGUUGGCAAGAGCUGGCCUCUGAGGGAAUAGAGGCAGAUAUCAAGUCAUAUCUAUUGGUAAGUCAUCUGAUUGGAGAGACAUUUCAUUUGAUGGAAUUUUCCAUUUGAGAUUGGUCAUCCAGAGAAAAUUCCAGUGUUAUAGCUUUAGA